rnacentral:rRNA from 1 species
UCGGGAAUUUUGGGCAAUGGGGGAAACCCUGACCCAGCAACGCCGCGUGAAGGAUGAAGUAUUUCGGUAUGUAAACUUCGAAAGAAUAGGAAGAAUAAAUGACGGUACUAUUUAUAAGGUCCGGCUAACUACGUGCCAGCAGCCGCGGUAAUACGUAGGGACCAAGCGUUGUUCGGAUUUACUGGGCGUAAAGGGCGCGUAGGCGGCAUGACAAGUCACUUGUGAAAUCUCUGGGCUUAACCCAGAACGGCCAAGUGAUACUGUCGCGCUAGAGUGCAGAAGGGGCAAUCGGAAUUCUUGGUGUAGCGGUGAAAUGCGUAGAUAUCAAGAGGAACACCUGAGGUGAAGACGGGUUGCUGGGCUGACACUGACGCUGAGGCGCGAAAGCCAGGGGAGCAAACAGGAUUAGAUACCCAAGUAGUCCCUGAGCGGGCUGGCAAGGCGC